GCUGGGUGUGGUGGCUCACGCCUGUAAUCCUAGCACUUUGGGAAGCUGAGGCGGGUGGAUCACCUGAGGUCAGGAGUUCAAGCCUGGCCAACAAGGCGAAACCCCGUCUCUA
rnacentral:SRP_RNA from 1 species